GAAUCUGCGAGCAGCUGGUGAAUCGCACAUAGCAUCAGAGCCAGUGCUUCUAAUUUAGGCUUGGACAAUAAUUAACAAAACACAGAAAGCAUAUCUGAGGACAACAAGGAGCCUGUAGGUGCCUCUUCGGGUCUUUCCAGACCUGUUUCUUUUGGCAGUUCUCAUGCCCAGCACUGGCAACGUCUCUUCCUUCAAGUUUAUCACUACCAUUUUAUAGUAUACAGGAUUAAUCCCUAACUGCUGCAGUCGCGGUUUGCUGAGCUGGAAAUACAGUUCCCAAUGGGUCAUACUCAUGAUCAUGUCACAGGAUACCUACCACGUGUCAGCUGAGCUGUGGUAACUCUGCAUCUGUCACAGCCGGUAAUUGAACUUCAUCUUCUACAAAAGAAAUUUAAACUAAGGCACAGCAAGAGCCUGCGCACAGACAGUUUCAUUUAUUAACUGAAUCCAGUGUCUAAACUCAACAAUCUGCUAAAUUUAUGGAGUACGAUAUUCUGUGAUUCCAUUGCUCUGCAAUAAACAACUGAUAUUCCCUGAAAUAACUGUCACAGGAUAGCAUGAUUUAUGAAAUAGUUACAUGACUUGGGCAAACUCUACUUCUUAAUCCUCUCUUGCCCAGUGGAAUAGAUGCAAUUGCGGAUUUCUUUUGGAAGUAGGCCACCUAGUGCUUAAGAGCUGCACCGCAGUGCAAACACUACUGCAGACAGCUUGUUUUGCUCUCACUUUAAACCAUGAAACUGCUCAUUACUUUUCAUGAAAUACUAUGAGUUAUGCAAUAAUCAACCAUAACAGAGCUUUUGGGUUGUGAUUUCACAUGUACUGAGUUUGCCUGUUCCCAGCCCUGCUCUCCGCUACUUACUUAGCUCCAGCACUUUUUUUGUCAGACCUCUCUGUGAACCAAAGCAACUCCCUAAUGUGG